UUGGCAUUUGUGCUAAUUAAGUAAAGGGUCUCAUUAAGUUUAUUUAUCUUCCUUAUCUUUGAAGAGCUUAAUGCUGGAUAUUUCAACCUCUUUGCCAACUUGUUUAGACUUGUGCGAGUUCCUAAAGCACCCUUCAGCUUCUAGCUCAAGAACACUGAAGUGUCUUGCGUACAAGUAAGUUCUAGAGGCGAAACAGCUUCACUCGAAGAAGGAAAAGCAGAUUUCGAGCUCUCAUUUGGGGAAGAGUUGCUGCACAAGAAGAUGACAGCCAAUGAGACUGCAGAUGAGGAACCAGAAGAUGCACAGCAAAAGGAUGAAGAAGAGAUGGAGAUCGAUGCUCAAUACAUGUCUGAAUGAUGGUCCGUGUCCAGGAUUGAUGUGAUAUUGGUUCAAGCGGCUCAAUCAGUGAUGAAUUCUCUUGUUAAUUUUCUCUUCUUUCUUUUUAUUUAUGUUUAGUUUUCUUUCUCUCGUAGCUGAGAUCAUGGCUUGUACUUGUGUUCUUUCUUCGUAAGUCCCCAACUGUUCUUGCCUUUGGAGUCUUUCAUGGGUUAAACUUUAAGCUCUCGCGUGAUUGAAGUGCCUACUGCUGCUAAUACAUUCGUCCGCUAUUGGUUGAUA